UCUUAGUACGAGAGGACCAGAGUGGACGAACCGAUGGUGUACCGGUUGUGGUGCCAACUGCAUUGCCGGGUAGCUACGUUCGGAUAGAAUAACCGCUGAAAGCAUCUAAGCGGGAACCCCCCCUCAAGAUGAGAUCUCCCAUGGAUUUAUCCAGUGAAGACACCUUAAAGACCAUGAGGUUGAUAGGCUGGCUGUGUACGUGUGGUAACAUAUUUAGCAGACCAGUACUAAUCAGUCGUCAGGCUUAGUCAC
rnacentral:rRNA from 1 species